GAGAUGCGAUAAGUCAUGUGAAUUGCAGAAUUCAGUGAAUCAUCGAAUCUUUGAACGCACCUUGUGCCUUUUGGUAUUCCGAAAGGCCUGCAUGUUUGAGUGUCAUGAAAUCUCAAUCCCCCCGGGUUUUCUGAACCCGAGGUGGACUUGGACAUGGGUGUCUGCCGUCUCCUACGGCUCGCCUUAAAUGACUCAGUGGGAUCUUCAGCAUCCGUGGCAGACGUAAUAAGUUUCGUCUCGUCCCUUCCUGUGAGGACCGCUCAUAACCUGCCAUCGCGCACCACUUUUGACUCUGAGCUCAAAUGAGGUAGGACUACCCGCUGAUCUUAA
rnacentral:misc_RNA from 1 species